UACGUAGGGGGCAAGCGUUGUCCGGAUUUAUUGGGCGUAAAGCGCACGCAGGCGGUCAGAUUAGUCUGGAGUGACAGUCGUUGGCUCAACCAACGAAGUACUUCGGAUACUGUCUGACUUGAGGGCUUCAGAGGGACACGGAAUUCCGGGUGGAGUGGUGAAAUGCGUAGAUAUCCGGAGGAACACCGAUGGCGAAGGCAGUGUCCUGGGAAGCAUCUGACGCUCAGGUGCGAAAGCUAGGGGAGCGAACAGG
rnacentral:rRNA from 1 species